AUUGAACGCUGGCGGCAUGCUUUACACAUGCAAGUCGAACGGUAACAGCACUUCGGUGGCUGACGAGUGGCGAACGGGUGAGUAGUACAUCGGAACGUGCCUAGUAGUGGGGGAUAACUACUCGAAAGAGUAGCUAAUACCGCAUGAGAUCUAAGGAUGAAAGCAGGGGACCUUCGGGCCUUGCGCUACUAGAGCGGCUGAUGGCAGAUUAGGUAGUUGGUGGGAUAAAAGCUUACCAAGCCGACGAUCUGUAGCUGGUCUGAGAGGACGACCAGCCACACUGGGACUGAGACACGGCCCAGACUCCUACGGGAGGCAGCAGUGGGGAAUUUUGGACAAUGGGCGCAAGCCUGAUCCAGCAAUGCCGCGUGCAGGAUGAAGGCCUUCGGGUUGUAAACUGCUUUUGUACGGAACGAAAAGCCCUCUUCUAAUACAGGAGGGUCAUGACGGUACCGUAAGAAUAAGCACCGGCUAACUACGUG
rnacentral:rRNA from 1 species